CGCACGGAGAUUUGAGUCCGAGUCUUCCGAAUGGCAGUACGCAAUGGUCCUCGGCUACCGCGGCCGUAUAUACGAUUAUGUAAUUAUGCGUACAUGUAUGUAUUUCCUUAAGCUCGAUUUGAUUUUGUGCUUGUAAUUUUAAGCAGAAAUUUAAGGAGAUCUUAUUAGGAAUCGUGUAAAUACUACUUUAUACGCGGUAAAUAUGAAGAAGACCUAAGAAACGGAAACGGAAAUAGAGGACGAACAUCAGAAGGAAAAGUUGGUGCAAAAAACUGGAACGAAAUUUGAGUUGCAUUAUAAAGAAUUAAUGACACAAAUUAAAAUAUCAUUUAUAGCAAAGGUUAUGGUCAUACCUAUAAAAUUAUGAAGUCUGUACUAAUAAGAAUGUAAGCCCCAGCAUUUGUAUUUGACAUUUUUCCCGGCAGAUUAGCUGUCUUUUUAUAUGUACAUAUGUAUUUGAGUUGCAUAGAAUUUGAAAAUUGGAAAAACCCAGUUUACUUGUUCCAAAUGCAGCAAAGGAAAAUACGAGAGAAACCACGGCAAAACUCAAUACCAAAAUUUUCCAGCGAGUGAAAAGCUUGGAAAAGGAAAUUGACAGAAAGCAAAAAUUACGGCUAAGAGAAAUGUAUGGACUGACAGUAACAAAAGCAGCGAGAACUCUUCAUCGCCCGAAUGCGUAAGGAGCUUAUAUUGAAAACAAACGAGCGAGUUGUGGGUGGUGAUGAGAGUCGGUCAGGUGGAAACAGCGCUGUGAAGGAAACAAAUGAACUUAUGCUUGUUUUUUGUUGCUAUUCUCUCUAUGCAUGGACACUUAUGACUAUAUGUUUUCAUUUUCAUUUUCAUUCAAUGCAAAAAACGAGAUACUCUUAAAUAAACUGACUGUGUAUACAUACUAUGUGUAUACAUAUAUUCUUUUAUACAUACAUACAUUUGUAUGUACAUAUGCCUAUACAAAUAUACAUAUAUGAAAAUGUACAUGAAAGUAAAAAGGCAGCAAGUCAGCAUUCUAUCAGGCCAUAACAUAUACAGACUAGCGCGUAUAAAGCACGGAGAAAAUGUGUACACGCCACAGGAAAAAGUAUUAUAAAAAAGAAAAUACAAAUAAUGAACUAAACAUUUAGAAAAAUAUAAGGACUUUGUACAACUUCGAGCAAACAUACAAAUAAAUGGCUUAUUACUUCCGCGUUGACCAAUUAUUAAUUAAAACCCAUUUUGAAUAUGAACAUAUAUUCAGAACGAAAAGUUUUCCUCGCUGGAAAAUUCAUUGAAAAAGUGGAGCAGUGAACUAAAAUAGAUUAAACUUGCGUACAGAAAUAUUAAUAUUUAGUGCGGUAUUAAGUAUACGCGUGUCGUAAGCACAUUUGGAAAAAUAUUAUAUUGUAUAUAAAAAAAAUAGAAGCACAGAAAUAUGUGAGAAUAUUGAAAAGGCUGUUUCUGAAUAUCCAAAGCAUUUCAACGAGCAGUAACGUUUUCAAUCGGGACAGAGACGAUUGAACUGGCAGUUCAUAUGCCAUGCAUGCAUGUUUGUUCAUACAUACAUACUCGUAUGUAUGUUCAUAUAUGGAUGUAAUGAAAGUGUAUACAUACAUACAUAUGUAAAUACUCCUAAUUUUACUAUUAGUACUUGUGAAACACAUACUAAGUACACUGCAAAAUAAAUCAAAAGGAGAUUGCGCUUUCUAUGCAAAUGUUUAUCGUGUCUAACAAAUUAAUCAAGUCAAUGUUAAAAUAUUUAUGUAUAUUAAGCAGAGUAUGGAGCCAUUCGACGAGUUCUUAAAAAAUUAGUUGGUGUGUAUGUAAGAUUGAUAUCCUCGCUAAUGCAUUAUGGACUUUGCCAUCUCACUGGUGCAGCUACCGGUCAUUUAACUAUACAUUUAAUGUACAUAUGUACAUACAUAAGUCUGUAUGUGCCUACAGUUAUUCAUAUGUGAAGCUACUUUUCAUCUCCUAAAUGUGAUUAACUUGAAUAAAAAUCAUAAUCUGCGGGCUCUAUUUCCAAUUCGUCAUCUUAGUGGAGGACAAUGUUGCUGAAUCUUCUCAGGUGCAUGCACCUCUCCCAGAGCUUUGUAUAAAUUUUUCGUUAAAUUUUACUUGCGUGUGCUUUCGUUUCGACUUUCGUACUUUAUUUUAAAAUAUGUAUUAUAUACACAUACAUAUGUACAUGUUUGGGUGUUUCAUGUGUGCUGAAUUAAAAACAGAGGUGACAGAAUGAAGAAUAAAGGAAAUAUUAAACCUGCAAAUUACCGCGAAAUUUAUGCAUAUACACAUGUAUAUGUAUUAAAAUAUAUCAAAAAUUUACGCAUAUUUAUGUACACACAUAUAUAUAUAUAUAGAAUUAACAAAUGAGCCCAAUAAUCCCAACAAGCUGUUGAGCAAAUUGCCACAGCUCUGUCGCACACAAUUUCCAUGCUGCUUUGGUAAUAAGAGAGAAAACUUUUUUUUAGCAAUUUUCGAAAAAUCUUUUAAAACCAAAAACGAUGCAGGUAACCUGAGAAAUGAAAAUAGAAAAUUUGUAUAAAUACUUGCCGACCGCAGUGGGCGAGUGGUUAGCAUAGCGCACUAAUAUUUGAAUGGCCAGAGUUCGCGUCCUGGUCCCACCAACGUCUGAGAUUAUAGAUAAUUAUGUUUUUUCAAUGGCACUGGCGCCUUGGCAGGGAAGCCCUCCCUCCAUAUGUAUUUCUGACAUGAUAAAAAAAGCUCUAUUUAAUGCAAAAACAAAGACUUAAAAACCUGUGCUCUGCUGAAAAUAGCUUCGCAAAUAAAAUGUUUUUAAAAUGCUUUUUUUUUAUGAAAGUCCCUUUUAUUAUAAAGUUUGAACCUUUGAAUUAUAUGUGAAAUACUACAUCUUUGCAAGCUUCGAUCCGUUUGAGGCCAAUUGAAAUCGCCCAGACGCGGUAAGAAAGUCGAAGCUCUCGAGAAUGUCGAGAAGUAAACACGUCGGAUACACUUUCACCUACAGUGGCGAUAUUUGAGGUGGAACGGACUAUUCUCAUAAAUGCCUGACUUUUAACUAAUUCAAGGCAUGUUUCGUUUGACAGAUGCUGAAAUACAGCUCUGUACUUUGGAAACAACGAAAUGGAUGCUCCUAUAUAUACAAACAUAUAUGAAUAUACAUAUAUACUCAUAUUUGCGGCUAUAAAUUAUAUUUCAUAGCAAGAGACAAAAGCAAUGAUUUGAUAUACAUAUGUACAUACAUAUGUAUGCAUUUGAAUUGUUCAGUUAAUUAAUUUUCUAUUUAUGUUUAAUAAAUUUGACAUGCUCACGUUUCCCAAAAUAAAAAAGAAAGAGAAAGAGAUUAACUUUAUGAUUCAACUUAAAGCAAAAGGAGGUUUUUCUGAAUAGUUUUAUUAAUAAAUUAACAUGAUAAUUAGACAAAUUAACAAAUAAAGCCACUAAAUUCCACCCCCCUCCACAUAUCAUCAAUGCCUUGCCCACAAAUGGAGUAAAAUGCAAAUUCUAAGAGUUCAUGUGCCAAUGCGAACAAAUCUAUGUGCGAUGGUAUGUGUCCACCCUACCAAAAUAGCACAGCAACAGCAGUCAAGUGGCACAUACGAGUAUAUAUAUGUAUGCGCAUACUACUGUACAUAUUUAGAUAGGCAUAGUACGUGACCCAUUAAAUUGAAUUCCUGUGUAUUAAGUAUAAGUAACCCACAACAUGUCCGAGCUCUAAAUUAAAAAGCAAAAACUAAAAUACAUAUGUAUAAACAAGAUAUAAAAACAAUCGAAAACUCAAUUGCAGAUAGCAAAACAGAGAAACAGGAAACACAAAGAAAAUACAUGCAACAAGCUGUAUUAAAGACGUGCAAUGGUCCAUGGACUCAUACCACAAUAAUACGAUAUCACAUCACCCACACCACUACCUAUAAUAACAGCCAGCCAUCACAACAAACCAGCCGUUGCUGCUUGCCAUCAGCGUGUCAUCGAAAGAAAUAUAAGCUUGCAUCGCAACCACAGUGGACUAGACCAAUAUAUAGGCAAAUCUACCAAGUUCCAUAGGCCCAAGCAAAGCUACUAACCUAACAGCCAACCGGCCAAGAGAACAACACAAUCAUUCAGCGCCAAAUACGGUGACGUAUUUUACAAAAAAAUGAAUGCCAGUCUCAUUUACGAAAUCCUCAUGUAUUUGAAUUCGUUUUACUUUGGCAUGUACGCCGUAUUUGAGAUUGGUGUCGGCGUUCUGAAGGCAGUCGGAUUGAAUUAUACUUCGAAUGAGUUGACGCGAGAGGGAUGUAUAUUGCUCGCAUUGUGCAUCGUAGAAACAAUACGAAUUGUAUUGGGUCGGAAGAGCAGUUUAAGCGAUCGAGGCUGGCAAGCGAUAACAUCAGUAGUAUUAACACUGCCCAGUCUUGCUCUUGUAAUCUAUUUAUGUUUGUUUCAAACCUACGUUCUCAAACUCGAGAUAAUUCUGAGUGCCUUAAUGAUAGCCCUCCAAGGUGCUGAACUAGUGUACGCCGGUGUCUUCGUAUGCACCAUGUUUGGCGAUGUUACGUAUACCUAGCAGUCGAUAAGAAUUUAUGUAAAAAUGUUAAAGAUCCAAUUGAAUGAAUAUCCCGUCUGAAGCUACACACACCAACACACACAUCUCGUCGAUAAUGUCGAAGAAGUAGUCAUAUUUAUCGCUCUACGAAAAUUGAGACGAAAUGUGAGCAGAAACAUAUUCUUGUACCGAUUCCGAUGCAGCAAAGGUAUUUAGCAAAAAUGUGUUGUAAAUUUAGCUGGUUACCAACAACUCAUAACAAUGUACACACGACAGCAAGAUGACAAUGAUGUGUUUUACCAACAAGAUAACAGUAUAGUAUUUUAUUUCAAACCAUUACAACAAACUCAAAAAUACAAUAACAGUAUGAAAGUGCAUAGGAAUCUUAACGGUUAACAUAAGAAAGCAAGCUGGAGAUGACAAAUCGUUAGAUCAGAAAAGACUGAUCGAAAUCUAAUACUUCACGUUAUAUGACUGGCGCUUUUCGCAGAUUUUUUCACGUCGAAAUUUCAACAAAAACAACUUGAAUUCCCCACCUUGUUGGCAAGUUAUUUUAUCCGUUUUUCUAACUGUGCCUUGCUUUUUCGGUGUCGCUUACAUACUGCUACUACAAGAAUAUAAACUUCGUCUGG